ACCCAGGCUUGCUUUCCAGCUUGCUGCUUAGACCAUACAACAAAACUCACAGGAGCACCAACCCUCAGGGUCUUCUUUCUCCAAAUAAAUUAAGUUCUCAUCUGUGUUCUGCAUGCCAGGAAUGCCAGGGCACUAAUCAGGAAAGUGCUCAAAAUAUUAACAAUCACCACAAAAGAUACACUCUCCUGACCAGCACAAAGGUCUCCUCAACAAUAAAAUAACUGGCUGAUAGACUAGUUAUUUGUUAACUUUCAACCUUCAACAAGUUGAAAAUUAAUCCUAGGGCUCACACUUCCACAUUGAACUUACAUUAGACUUAAUAAGUCACUGAAUGCCAGUGAUAAUCAAGUUCCCCUACACUUCCAAGAAGCUGGGUGUGGUAGCAUAUACCUGUAAUCCCAGCACUCGGAAGGUUGAGGCAGGAAGUUGGCAAGUUCAAGGCCAGUUACACAGAGAGCCCCAGGCCAGCUCGGACACUUCUGGAGUUCUUAUCUA